rnacentral:lncRNA from 1 species
CAUUUACAUAAGUAUUCAGACCCUUUACUCAGUACUUUGUUAAAGCACCUUUGGCAGUGAUUACAGCCUUGAGUCUUCUUUGGUAUGACGCUACAAGCUUGGCACAACUGUAUUUGGGGAGUUUCUCCCAUUCUUCUCUGUAGAUCCUCUCAAGCUCUGUCAGGUUGGAUGGGGAGCGUCGCUGCACAGCUAUUUUCAGGUCUCUCCAGAGAUGUUUGAUCGGGUUCAAGUCCGGGCUCUGGCUGGGCCACUCAAGAACAUUCAGAGACGUGUCCUGAAGCCACUCCUGCGUUGUCUUGGCUGUGUGCUUAGGGUCGGUGUCCUGUUGGAAGGUAAAGCGUCACCCCAGUCUGAGGUGCGGAGCGCUCUGAAGCAGGUUUUCAUCAAGGAUCUCUCUGUACUUUGCUCCGUUCGUCUUUCCCUCGAUCCUGACUAGUCUCCCAGUUCCUGCCGCUGAAAAACAUCCCCACAGCAUGAUGCUGCCACCACCAUGCUUCACCGUAGGGAUGGUGCCAGGUUUCUUCCAGACAUGAUGCUUGGAAUUCUUGCCAAGGAGUUCAAUCUUGGUUAAAACAGACCAGAGAAUCUUGUUUGGCCGGGCGGCCAGCUCUAGGAAGAGUCUUGGUGGUUCAAAACUUCUUCCAUUUCAGAAUGAUGGAGGCCACUGUGUUCUUGGGGACCUUCAAUACUGUAUAAAUGUUUUGGUACCCUUCCCCAGAUCUGUGCCUCGACACAAUCCUGUCUCUGAGCUCUACGGACAAUUUCUUCAACCUCGUGGCUUGGUUUUUGCUCUGACAUGCACUGUCAACUGUGGGACCUUAUAUAGACAGGCGGUAAAUAACUUUAAGAACGAGACCGGUUACACCAACCGCAUGAUGACGAGAGUAGCCCAGCCCCCCGUCGUCCCCACCCCUCCUCUCCAGCCUCAAUCCCGCCCUCAGUGCCCGCUCCAGCCUAUCAGGAGCCAGCAGGACCCUCUCAUGCCCCGCCCUCCAGCCUUAGACACGCCACCAUUGGCUCAGCAGCAGCAGCAGGUUGGCCCGCCCCUCAGAGUCGGGAACCAUAAUAACUCCUCCCACAUGGCUGCUGGCUCCUCCUAUAACUCAACGGGGCCCUCCCCCCAGCACCCAACCAAUCACAACAACACGCUUAUUAUAACAAAGUAAGAUUCUCUCUCUUAAAAUGGCUCUUUCUCUUUCUUUCUCUCUCCUUCUUUCUUUCUGUCUCGUUCUCUCUCUCCCUCUCUCUCUCUGUCUCCCUCUCUCUGUCUCUCUCUCUCAUAGACACAGCCAGUGAAACAGAGGUGUCUGUGAGGUUGAGGUAAGGUUUUAGUAACGAUGCUACAUGUCUGUUUUUCCAGAGAGCCAGAGAGUGGAGGAGUUCAGUCUGUGGUGGUCUCAGCCGACCCCCUCUAGCCAAG